CAAACUUAGCCACCCCCUCUCUCUGUCUUCCCUCGUUUCUUCUCCCACUCUUCGAGGUUCUGCUACCGUACACUGCAGCGGCGGCGGCUCUAGGCACCGUAGCCCUCGUAGGGGCUUCUGAAGUGCAGGCGGCAAGGGUGCCACCAGCAGGUCGGGACGCGCGGGCUGCUCGUGGCGCCGUAGGCGUAGAAGUGGCUCGUCAGACGCUGGCUGCUCGGAGGACGAUACCCGCGGCGAGGGCUCGAGACGCGGCCUGCGAGGCCAGUUC
rnacentral:rRNA from 1 species